UACGAAGGGGGCUAGCGUUGUUCGGAAUUACUGGGCGUAAAGCGCACGUAGGCGGAUAUUUAAGUCAGGGGUGAAAUCCCGGGGCUCAACCCCGGAACUGCCUUUGAUACUGGGUAUCUUGAGUUCGGAAGAGGUGAGUGGAAUUGCGAGUGUAGAGGUGAAAUUCGUAGAUAUUCGCAGGAACACCAGUGGCGAAGGCGGCUCACUGGUCCGAUACUGACGCUGAGGUGCGAAAGCGUGGGGGAGCAAACAGG
rnacentral:rRNA from 1 species